AUACGCAGUUAUUCCUCUCAUCCAAAGUAAGAAAAACGAAUCACUGAUUGGCAUCAUUAGUGGACCAGGUGAGAGUUCCGCUUAUUAGGUACGAUUUCGACGACCAGCUCUCAGUCUCGCUCCACCGUUCACAGAGGAAGGACGUCCCAUCAGAGAGUGAAGCCAAGCAGGAAGGAAGGAAACAAGUUCGGUUUUCGUUAAACUGAAAAAAACCAAAAGCUGUCAGCCAUGUCUCUCCGCUUCAUAGUAUUGGCAGCUUGCCUCUUCUACUAUGCUGCCAGCGUGAGCAGCUUCCCGUUCUGCCCAGAAGGGUGCCCGUUGGACUGUAUGACACGAAUGGUUGUCGACAGCGACCGGUCCUGUAACAGGUGUGAGUGCGACCCCGGCAGCACAGGAUCGCCUUUUUAUUUUUACUAGAAAAUAUUAGUGAUUUGGCUUUUUUUUUUCUUAACCGGUCAUUAUUGAUCCUGUAUUUUGACCUGAAAAUGUUGGUUUUAGCGUUUUUUCCCUCUCUUUUUUCACCAUGCAAUAUUUAUGUUGUAUGAUGUUGUAUUUUGUAAAACUAUCAUCAUUUAAAAGGUUGGAAUGUAGGAAAUUUACUGAAUACUUACUGAAAUGAUUUUUAAAGCACCGUAGUGAGUUCGAGGGAAGGGAGAGUACGUGCUUAAAACCUUUGUUAAAAUGACCGUUUAAAACCAUCCUAGGUAUACGGGCAUAAAUAUAUAUCUCUGUAAUCCUUUUUGACGCUAUAUGUAUCAUUAAAUUCUGAAGCGUUAAUAGUUAAUAAAUCAUUUAAAACAA